GUGGGGAAUUUUGGACAAUGGGGGCAACCCUGAUCCAGCAAUGCCGCGUGCAGGAAGAAGGCCUUCGGGUUGUAAACUGCUUUUGUACGGAACGAAACGGUCCUGGUUAAUACCUGGGGCUAAUGACGGUACCGUAAGAAUAAGCACCGGCUAACUACGUGCCAGCAGCCGCGGUAAUACGUAGGGUGCAAGCGUUAAUCGGAAUUACUGGGCGUAAAGCGUGCGCAGGCGGUUUUGUAAGACAGGCGUGAAAUCCCCGGGCUCAACCUGGGAAUGGCGCUUGUGACUGCAAGGCUGGAGUGCGGCAGAGGGGGAUGGAAUUCCGCGUGUAGCAGUGAAAUGCGUAGAUAUGCGGAGGAACACCGAUGGCGAAGGCAAUCCCCUGGGCCUGCACUGACGCUCAUGCACGAAAGCGUGGGGAGCAAACAGGAUUAGAAACCCGUGUAGUCC
rnacentral:rRNA from 1 species